AAACACGGACCAAGGAGUCUAACAUGUGCGCGAGUCAUUGGGUUGAACUCKAAACCUAAAGGCGCAAUGAAAGUGAAGGUCCUGCUUCGGCGGACCGAGGGAAGAUGGGGUGCACUUCGGUGCGCCCCCGCAUUCCCGGGGCGUCUCGUUCUCAUUGCGAGUUGAGGCGCACCCAGAGCGUACACGUUGGGACCCGAAAGAUGGUGAACUAUGCCUGGCCAGGACGAAGUCAGGGGAAACCCUGAUGGAGGUCCGUAGCGAUUCUGACGUGCAAAUCGAUCGUCGGAGCUGGGUAUAGGGC
rnacentral:rRNA from 1 species